rnacentral:rRNA from 1 species
UACGAAGGGGGCUAGCGUUGUUCGGAAUCACUGGGCGUAAAGCGCACGUAGGCGGAUCUUUAAGUCAGGGGUGAAAUCCCGAGGCUCAACCUCGGAACUGCCUUUGAUACUGGGGAUCUCGAGUCCGGGAGAGGUGAGUGGAACUGCGAGUGUAGAGGUGAAAUUCGUAGAUAUUCGUAAGAACACCAGUGGCGAAGGCGGACUCACUGGCCCGGAACUGGACGCUGAGGUGCGAAAGCG